rnacentral:rRNA from 1 species
CUUGCUUCUCUUGAGAGCGGCGGACGGGUGAGUAAUGCCUAGGAAUCUGCCUGGUAGUGGGGGAUAACGCUCGGAAACGGACGCUAAUACCGCAUACGUCCUACGGGAGAAAGCAGGGGACCUUCGGGCCUUGCGCUAUCAGAUGAGCCUAGGUCGGAUUAGCUAGUUGGUGAGGUAAUGGCUCACCAAGGCGACGAUCCGUAACUGGUCUGAGAGGAUGAUCAGUCACACUGGAACUGAGACACGGUCCAGACUCCUACGGGAGGCAGCAGUGGGGAAUAUUGGACAAUGGGCGAAAGCCUGAUCCAGCCAUGCCGCGUGUGUGAAGAAGGUCUUCGGAUUGUAAAGCACUUUAAGUUGGGAGGAAGGGCAUUAACCUAAAACGUUAGUGUCUUGACGUUACCGACAGAAUAAGCACCGGCUAACUCUGUGCCAGCAGCCGCGGUAAUACAGAGGGGGCAAGCGUUAAUCGGAAUUACUGGGCGUAAAGCGCGGGGUAGGUGGUUUGUUAAGGGAGAAAAGCG